rnacentral:rRNA from 1 species
UACGUAGGGGGCAAGCGUUGUCCGGAUUUAUUGGGCGUAAAGAGCGUGUAGGCGGCCAUACAGGUCCGUUGUGAAAACUGGAGGCUUAACCUCCAGACGUCGAUGGAAACCGUAUGGCUAGAGUCCGGAAGAGGAGAGUGGAAUUCCUGGGUGUAGCGGUGAAAUGCGCAGAUAUCAGGAGGAACACCGGUGGCGAAGGCGGAUCUCUGGGCCUUGCCUGACGCUGAGGCGCGAAAGCUAGGGGAGCGAACAGG